rnacentral:sRNA from 1 species
AGAAUCAGAAUGAAUCUCCUACUCAUUGCAAGAAUCCCUUCUCAUCUCAUCACCAGAGAACAUCAUUCAACUUCUACCUGAACACUUCCAGUAAUAGGAAUUUUCAAAAUUUCAAGCUAAUUGGUUUCCUUGUUAGACUCUAAGUGCUCUAAGUAUUAGAAGAGCUCUUUGUUGUAUUUAGCCAAAAUUUCUGUCCUUUUAAUUUCCACCCAUUGGUCCUUGUUGUGUAACAGCAAACACAUGCUUCUCCUACCGUUAUUAAUUUAAUCAUCAAAUAUUCAAAUGCCUAUUUAUGUGCCAGGAGCUCAGCUAAUUACACAUAUUUUUCAUUUAAUCCUCACAACAAGGUUCAUAUGAUGAAUUUAUUAAGAAAACUGAAGCCGAGCUUAGCCAAGAUUUGGAAACAUCACCAACAGCCAAGCCUCAGAUUAAAACGCUCUCCUCAGCUUCUGAAAAACCCAAGAUCAAACCUCUCACACCACUACACAGAUCUGAAACGGCAAAGAAUUGGAAAUCACUAACAG